GGCCUAACACAUGCAAGUCGAACGAUGAUUUCCCAGCUUGCUGGGAAUGAUUAGUGGCGGACGGGUGAGUAACAUUUAGGAAUCUGCCUAGUAGUGGGGGAUAGCUCGGGGAAACUCGAAUUAAUACCGCAUACGACCUACGGGUGAAAGGGGGCGCAAGCUCUUGCUAUUAGAUGAGCCUAAAUCAGAUUAGCUAGUUGGUGGGGUAAAGGCCCACCAAGGCGACGAUCUGUAACUGGUCUGAGAGGAUGAUCAGUCACACCGGAACUGAGACACGGUCCGGACUCCUACGGGAGGCGGCAGUGGGGAAUAUUGGACAAUGGGGGCAACCCUGAUCCAGCCAUGCCGCGUGUGUGAAGAAGGCCUUUUGGUUGUAAAGCACUUUAAGCAGGGAGGAGAGGCUAAUGGUUAAUACCCAUUAGAUUAGACGUUACCUGCAGAAUAAGCACCGGCUAACUCUGUGCCAGCAGCCGCGGUAAUACAGAGGGUGCGAGCGUUAAUCGGAAUUACUGGGCGUAAAGCGAGUGUAGGUGGCUCAUUAAGUCACAUGUGAAAUCCCCGGGCUUAACCUGGGAACUGCAUGUGAUACUGGUGGUGCUAGAAUAUGUGAGAGGGAAGUAGAAUUCCAGGUGUAGCGGUGAAAUGCGUAGAGAUCUGGAGGAAUACCGAUGGCGAAGGCAGCUUCCUGGCAUAAUAUUGACACUGAGAUUCGAAAGCGUGGGUAGCAAACAGGAUUAGAUACCCUGGUAGUCCACGCCGUAAACGAUGUCUACUAGCCGUUGGGGUCCUUGAGACUUUAGUGGCGCAGUUAACGCGAUAAGUAGACCGCCUGGGGAGUACGGCCGCAAGGUUAAAACUCAAAUGAAUUGACGGGGGCCCGCACAAGCGGUGGAGCAUGUGGUUUAAUUCGAUGCAACGCGAAGAACCUUACCUGGUCUUGACAUAGUGAGAAUCCUGCAGAGAUGCGGGAGUGCCUUCGGGAAUUCACAUACAGGUGCUGCAUGGCUGUCGUCAGCUCGUGUCGUGAGAUGUUGGGUUAAGUCCCGCAACGAGCGCAACCCUUUUCCUUAUUUGCCAGCGGGUUAAGCCGGGAACUUUAAGGAUACUGCCAGUGACAAACUGGAGGAAGGCGGGGACGACGUCAAGUCAUCAUGGCCCUUACGACCAGGGCUACACACGUGCUACAAUGGUAGGUACAGAGGGUUGCUACACAGCGAUGUGAUGCUAAUCUCAAAAAGCCUAUCGUAGUCCGGAUUGGAGUCUGCAACUCGACUCCAUGAAGUCGGAAUCGCUAGUAAUCGCAGAUCAGAAUGCUGCGGUGAAUACGUUCCCGGGCCUUGUACACUCC
rnacentral:rRNA from 1 species